UAGAAUUUUAUUUUUUAGUCAAAAAGCUAAAAUUUAUUUAAAAGACGAGAAGACCCUAUAAAUCUUUAUAUUUAUAUUAUUAUAAUUUUUUAGAUUUUUUUUAUUAUAAUAAUAGAUUAUAUUUUAUUGGGGUGAUAUUAAAAUUUAAUAAACUUUUAAUUGUUUAAAUCAUUAAUUUAUGAAUAA
rnacentral:rRNA from 1 species